rnacentral:rRNA from 1 species
UCUUAGUGGCGGACGGGUGAGUAACGCGUGGGUAACCUGCCUUGCACUGGGGGAUAACACUUAGAAAUAGGUGCUAAUACCGCAUAACAGUAGGAGACGCAUGUCUUUUACUUGAAAAUUCCGGUGGUGUAAGAUGGACCCGCGUCUGAUUAGCUUGUUGGCGGGGUAACGGCCCACCAAGGCAACGAUCAGUAGCCGGCCUGAGAGGGUGAACGGCCACAUUGGGACUGAGACACGGCCCAAACUCCUACGGGAGGCAGCAG